AGAGAGGGGAGAGAGAGAGAGAGAAAGAGAAAAAAAGAGGGACAGAACGGCGACGGAACGCUGGGAUAUCCACCACGCGUUAACCAAUUCCGCGAGCAUCGCGCGUGCGUGUGCGCGCGAGUACGGGCGGACGUGAAUGUGUGCAGAGAAGCGUAUCCUCCCGUCGAGCGUGGAACGGACGAAAGCGUCGAGCUGUCAGCGCACCCCACCCCGAAAGCCCCUUUGAAACCAACCCCACCCAUCGUGACGAAACCCCCGCCUUCCCUCUCCGUGUCGCAGGCUCUUUCCCUUGACUAGUCGUUUCUCCAUCCCUCUUCGGACAAUCCCCCCCUAACUGUGACAACAUCGAGGAACUGUGUGCCUUGCACGAAAGCGAAAGUAACACGAGCGCGUAUCGACGCAAAUGGAAAUUACCUUAAAGAAAAUAUCACUAGAAAUAAAACCAUAAGUUGUAUCGCUUCGAGAUUCUUCGUUAUUCUUGUUAAAAUUGAGUACUCGUCUUAAUUCGCGCGAUUUUGGAAUCAAAAAAAGGAAAGGAAUAAAGAGUGGAAAGGAAAUGGAAAGAAAAGGGAGAAGAAGAAAUGUCUGAGAGAACGAAAAUACGAGAAGUACAUACAUACGAAUGUCAGAAAAGCAACUUGGUCCCUUUCGUUUCCACCGACGCGGACGAAUCAUAAUUCUUAUUUACCACCGGCUCGAAAUCAUCCCCUCUGCGGUGCUCUUUCCGGUCUUCGGCUCCAGUUUUGUCCAUUUCCUUUCCGACCACCCCACUUUCGCAACGAAGCGUGAACACCCAUCGGAGCAACCGUAGUAACAAGAAGAUACUUUAUAGCAACGUAAAAUUGUUGCUUUUAAAUUAUUGCACUAAAAUGAAAUUUUGCAAUAGGGUUAAAUCAUAAAAGAUAUUAUACUUUUAAAAAUAUAUCCUCUUUAUAUUCGCAUUUCUUUAGUUUUAUUUCCCCUGCUAUCGACGCGUGACCAAGUUCCAGCUUCUUGAAACGCAAGAAUGUCAGCCGGUCGAAGGGCCGGCUCUAUAAUAGCUAGGAACAGGUAUCGCGAUGAAACGCGCGUGUGUAUGCCCGUGAAUGAAAAAGGAUAUGUGAACCAACACAUUCGCAUCGAGGGUUUAUCAUUGACGACCAAUGAACAGCCCGCCAUUGUCCGAAGCUGACAUCCAGAGGCUGACAUUUUGAUUUGUCCGAGAUCCUACGAGGGUGGAAAUUUUUUUUCGAAGAAAAUGGAGUUGGCCUGCGUCCGAGCGGCGAAGUGAUGACUUUAUCCAAUCGACUCCAUUUCUCAUCCGCAUUCGUUCUCUACCCGCAGGCUGACCCGCAGUCCCAACCAGAGAAGAGAAGGAACCGGCCGCUCCCUCCUGUACGUUGUACGAGAGGAACGAGAGGUACCGUAGAUGAUAUCCUGCCUGCCGACGAACUUCGAACAGCCGACCUCUAACGUAACCGCACGCACAUCAACCAUACGCUCCUUCUGACUCGUUGAUCGACCCGAUCGAUACGUUCCGGUAUUUCAGAAGAGUUGGAAAAUAAUUGCCCUUUGAUCGAGGGUCGAGCGUUAAUAUGUGCAAUCUCUUUGUUCCUCGCGCUGGUGAGUCUCUAAAGAUACUUCGGUGUUUUAUCAAGUUUUAUAAUCGAUUUCGCUAAUUAAUAUCAAUAAUUAAAUAAUUGUAAAAGACUCA